rnacentral:rRNA from 1 species
AUUGAACGCUGGCGGCAUGCCUUACACAUGCAAGUCGAACGGUAACAGGUCUUCGGAUGCUGACGAGUGGCGAACGGGUGAGUAAUACAUCGGAACGUGCCUAGUAGUGGGGGAUAACUACUCGAAAGAGUGGCUAAUACCGCAUGAGAUCUACGGAUGAAAGCAGGGGAUCGCAAGACCUUGCGCUACUAGAGCGGCCGAUGGCAGAUUAGGUAGUUGGUGGGAUAAAAGCUUAUCAAGCCGACGAUCUGUAGCUGGUCUGAGAGGACGAUCAGCCACACUGGGACUGAGAAACGGCCCAGACUCCUACGGGAGGCAGCAGUGGGGAAUUUUGGACAAUGGGCGCAAGCCUGAUCCAGCAAUGCCGCGUGCAGGAUGAAGGCCUUCGGGUUGUAAACUGCUUUUGUACGGAACGAAAAGCCCCGGGUUAAUACCCUGGGGUCAUGACGGUACCGUAAGAAUAAGCACCGGCUAACUACGUGCCAGCAGCCGCGUAA